CGAAGGGUUCAACCCUUUCGGGCGCCGCAUCUCUGCGGUGGGCUUUGGAGGAAACCCGGGGAACCCUACGGUAACUUCGUCAAUCUUGCUCCCAUCGCUUACCGAUCCAGCUGGGAGUCGAAGAAUUGUAAUCCCAUCAAACCUGCCUGCGUUCCGAGCCGGCCCUGAUCCAAACCAGACCAUGUGCCGUCCCUGAGAUCGAUUCACUCCCUCCUCCCCUCCUUUUUUUCUCAAACCCACCUUCGUCUCUCUCCCCUCGCCAACCUCUUCUCUUCCUCCGCUGUUUCUCGAACCCCAAGCUCGCAUCUUUCUGGACCAGAGGCUGAUUGCCUGCCAAAUAUAUAUAUAUGUAGAGAGAUGGCUCGACUGUUGAGUCGCCGCCUAAACUUGUUUUCGUUCCUCCAGACCAUUCGACCCCGUUUUCCUCUAUCUCCAGCUUCCAAAAGAUUGGAAGUUUCAUUUUAUUUGGAGAUGGAGCACGGUAGAGGAAGAGCCAUUGGCGGACAUUCGGUUCCCACCAUGCAAGUAUCCCGAUCCUAUGCUCGUGAACGCACACGUUAUAAUUUGUUUGGUAGUGGAGGACCGGGCAAUCAAGAGUUCAGAAAAGCCUGGGCAAAGGAGAUGGAUGAGGAUGACUGCCUGUGGACGGCAAGUGAGGAUGAAGAUGAAGAAGAUAAUGAAAAAAAUAAGAGCAAUUUGGAGAAGGAAAUUAAGAAAUUGAGAAAGACGGCUAAGGAAAAUGCAGACCUUAUUGAUGCCGAUGAGAGUGAUGAGCUGAGAAGUAUAUGCUCUGAAAGUGACGAGGAGAUGACUUUGUGGAGUGGUAGUGAAUGGGAUGAUGAUGAUGACAUUCCUACUGAUGCCCACCCAAAUGAGCGCAGUGAUCCACAUAUAGACAAAUUGUUUGAGUUUGAGGAAACACCUAAAUAUCGAUCCAUCUCAGAGUUGCUGAAAGCUGAAAAGGAGCCUCCAGAGCUGUCUCCAGGAAAGCAAGCUAGAAAGCUUGCUGUAGAAAAUGCACUGAAGAAGUUGAAGAAAGGGCCAGAUGGCCGCUAUAUAAACGUGUUGGAGGUCAUGAGUGAUAUAGAUAUACUGAUUGGAGCUUUUGAAAACAUUGUUUCAGGACCAGAGUAUGCAGAGCUGCGAGAGGGAGGGCCUAAAAGGCUAAACAUACAGUUCUUUAAGGACAUACAAGCACGUAUGAGAGAUCCAAAUUUUAAAUUUUCUCCUGAGUUAAAGCUAAAACCAAAGAAGAAAUUAGUUCCAAGAAAAAAGUGGCAAAAAGCUCAGUCUAGACGGAGGAAAAAUGAGAGGCGAUAAGAAGAGUUUAUUGGGAUUUUUGACAUCAUGAUUGCUGGUGGGGAUACUGGUGUUGCGUGCAUGUAUAAUGUGCGUGUAACAACUAACAACAUCCAUCCAGCCAGCCAGCCAUCGGUCUUUAUGUACAUGUACUUGUUUCUUCCAUCAACUGGGAGUUUUAAUUAAUUGUAUGUGAUGUUGCCACACCUGGUUCUGAUUCAAGACCCUCUGCAGGUGAGUACUCUUUGAAGCAUUAUGAGCGGUAAGAUUAGGGUGUCUAGAGUACAAAGGAUAAAGGGCACAUGGAUAUGGGCUUUAGAUUGAGGCCAUUUUCAAUUUGUAGGAAUUUGAAGGUUAAAAUAGGUAAUGGUUUCCAAUGCGACCUAUUUCCGUGUUUUGUAACUAAUUUGGACAUGGGAAUGUUGAUCCUCUAGGUAUCAAAUUCCCAUAUAAAGAAGAAACAAUUCCUAAGAGGGGGGGCUUGGGUAUUUUUUUCCCAAUGUUGGAUAUGUAUUUAAAUGAUACAAAAAAGAUUCUUUUUUGCAUUAUAAUUAUUAAAAUUAAUUAUGCAUA